UACGUAGGGGGCAAGCGUUGUCCGGAUUUAUUGGGCGUAAAGAGCGUGUAGGCGGUUUGGUAGGUCCGCUGUGAAAACUCGAGGCUCAACCUCGAGACGCCGGUGGAAACCAUCAGGCUAGAGUCCGGAAGAGGAGAGUGGAAUUCCUGGUGUAGCGGUGAAAUGCGCAGAUAUCAGGAAGAACACCCGUGGCUAAGGCGGCUCUCUAGUACGGUACUGACGCUGAGACGCGAAAGCGUGGAGAGCGAACAGG
rnacentral:rRNA from 1 species